rnacentral:rRNA from 1 species
AUUGAACGCUGGCGGCAGGCCUAACACAUGCAAGUCGAACGAGUGGCGGACGGGUGAGUAAUGUCUGGGAAACUGCCUGAUGGAGGGGGAUAACUACUGGAAACGGUAGCUAAUACCGCAUACCAUCCGAUAUGCCCAGAUGGGAUUAGCUAGUUGGUGGGGUAACUGCUCACCAAGGCGACGAUCCCUAGCUGGUCUGAGAGGAUGACCAGCAAAACGGGAACUGAGACACGGUCCAGACUCCUACGGGAGGCCGCAGUGGGGAAUAUUGCACAAUGGGGGAAAGCCUGAUGCAGCCAUGCCGCGUGUAUGAAGAAGGCCUUCGGGUUGUAAAGUAAUUUCAGCGAGGAGGCGUUACCCGCAGAAGAAGCACCGGCUAACUCCGUGCCAGCAGCCGCGGUAAUUC